ensembl:lncRNA LINC01189 long intergenic non-protein coding RNA 1189
AUGUGCAUGUUGAGGAGGCCUCACGCCAGUUUAGGCUCUCCAGUAUCUCCUGCCGAGCUGCUCUGUUCCCGGCUUAGAGGACCAGGAGAAGGGGGAGCUGGAGGCUGGAGCCUGUAACACCAUGGCUCGUCUCGCUCUGGAUGGUGGUGGCAACAGAGAUGGCAGCGCGGCUGAAGUCUUAGGAGGGCGGCCUGAGCGGUUUUUCUGGCAUUGUCUGCCCAGCUACUCCAAGCCAGGCUGAUGAAGGAGGAGUCCCCUGUGGUGACUGGAGGUUGGAGCCUGAAGAUGGCACAGCUCUGUGAUUCAUCUCCUGCUGUUGUGGCGGCCACGGUGAUGGAGACGGCAGCUCAACAGGAGCGCCCUGUAAGGAGAAUAUACCAUCCCCACUGAACAGAUGAGAAAACUGAGGCUCAGGGGUGUCAGGUGACUGCCUGAGGUCACAGGUGGGACUGGGGCUCCUUGGUCUGUCCUCUUUCUACUGCGAAACAGUCUGGUGAAACUACAGAAGGACCCAUUCCUGCUAAUGAGGCACUAAAGGUUAUGAAAUAGAAUAUUUCCAGUAUCUUAGAAACUCCCAUUGCCCUUCUACAAUGCCACUCACUCCUUCCACAAGAGCACUGAAUGAGAGUUCCUGUUGCUUCACAUCCUCAUCACCAUUUGGUGUUGUCAGAGUUCUGGAUUUUUGCCAUUCUAAUAUGCAUGCAGUAGUAUCUCAUUGCAGUGCUGUGUUUGAGAAUAUUAAUUAGCUCUCAGGACUGCUGUGUCCAGAGUUGAUUCCUUCUGGUGGGUUCGUGGUGUUGCUGACUUGAAGAAUGAAGCCGCCGACCUUCACGAGCGCUGAUUGGUGUGUUUUACAGAGCAUGGAUUGGUGCGUUUUACAGAGCGCUGAUUGGUACAUUUCACAGAACUCGUGAGACAGUCGCAGGUGGCAUGAUUUGAUUUGUGUGAAGGCAAUGAAAUGAUACACAGAUACACCGAAGCCUCCCAAAAGAAUCCUGGUUCCAAGAUUCAAGAAGAUGGAUUAAUGUUUUUCCAUUAAUUGUUGGAAUUUAUGCCAUUUUUUUACUAUGUGCCAUCAAUUUUAAAGCACUUCUGAAAAGAGAUAACAAUCUACAAUAGCUGGCAUUUUAAAUUCAUAAAAAUAUAGUAUUUUCUUCUAUUUUUAUA